AACGAACGCUGGCGGCAGGCCUAACACAUGCAAGUCGAGCGCCCCGCAAGGGGAGCGGCGGACGGGUGAGUAACGCGUGGGAACGUGCCUCUUGCUACGGAAUAGCCUCGGGAAACUGGGAGUAAUACCGUAUGUGCCCUACGGGGGAAAGAUUUAUCGGCAAGAGAUCGGCCCGCGUUGGAUUAGGUAGUUGGUGGGGUAAUGGCCUACCAAGCCGACGAUCCAUAGCUGGUUUGAGAGGAUGAUCAGCCACACUGGGACUGAGACACGGCCCAGACUCCUACGGGAGGCAGCAGUGGGGAAUCUUAGACAAUGGGCGCAAGCCUGAUCUAGCCAUGCCGCGUGAGCGAUGAAGGCCUUAGGGUUGUAAAGCUCUUUUACCCGGGAUGAUAAUGACAGUACCGGGAGAAUAAGCUCCGGCUAACUCCGUGCCAGCCGCCGCGGUAA
rnacentral:rRNA from 1 species